rnacentral:tRNA from 1 species
CGUGGGCCUGGAUGGCGGCAACAUCGGCCAAUUGACGCUGGGCUUGCAGAACACGCCGAUGUUCGACCUGCUGGCCGACCAC